AUUGUGAACGAGUGGCGGACGGGUGAGUAACACGUGGGUAACCUGCCCUUAAGUGGGGGAUAACAUUUGGAAACAGAUGCUAAUACCGCAUAAAUCCAAGAACCGCAUGGUUCUUGGCUGAAAGAUGGCGUAAGCUAUCGCUUUUGGAUGGACCCGCGGCGUAUUAGCUAGUUGGUGAGGUAACGGCUCACCAAGGCAAUGAUACGUAGCCGAACUGAGAGGUUGAUCGGCCACAUUGGGACUGAGACACGGCCCAAACUCCUACGGGAGGCAGCAGUAGGGAAUCUUCCACAAUGGACGCAAGUCUGAUGGAGCAACGCCGCGUGAGUGAAGAAGGCUUUCGGGUCGUAAAACUCUGUUGUUGGAGAAGAAUGGUCGGCAGAGUAACUGUUGUCGGCGUGACGGUAUCCAACCAGAAAGCCACGGCUAACUACGUGCCAGCAGCCGCGGUAAUACGUAGGUGGCAAGCGUUAUCCGGAUUUAUUGGGCGUAAAGCGAGCGCAGGCGGUUUUUUAAGUCUGAUGUGAAAGCCCUCGGCUUAACCGAGGAAGUGCAUCGGAAACUGGRAAACUUGAGUGCAGAAGAGGACAGUGGAACUCCAUGUGUAGCGGUGAAAUGCGUAGAUAUAUGGAAGAACACCAGUGGCGAAGGCGGCUGUCUGGUCUGUAACUGACGCUGAGGCUCGAAAGCAUGGGUAGCGAACAGGAUUAGAUACCCUGGUAGUCCAUGCCGUAAACGAUGAAUGCUAGGUGUUGGAGGGUUUCCGCCCUUCAGUGCCGCAGCUAACGCAUUAAGCAUUCCGCCUGGGGAGUACGACCGCAAGGUUGAAACUCAAAGGAAUUGACGGGGGCCCGCACAAGCGGUGGAGCAUGUGGUUUAAUUCGAAGCAACGCGAAGAACCUUACCAGGUCUUGACAUCUUUUGAUCACCUGAGAGAUCAGGUUUCCCCUUCGGGGGCAAAAUGACAGGUGGUGCAUGGUUGUCGUCAGCUCGUGUCGUGAGAUGUUGGGUUAAGUCCCGCAACGAGCGCAACCCUUAUGACUAGUUGCCAGCAUUUAGUUGGGCACUCUAGUAAGACUGCCGGUGACAAACCGGAGGAAGGUGGGGAUGACGUCAAAUCAUCAUGCCCCUUAUGACCUGGGCUACACACGUGCUACAAUGGAUGGUACAACGAGUUGCGAGACCGCGAGGUCAAGCUAAUCUCUUAAAGCCAUUCUCAGUUCGGACUGUAGGCUGCAACUCGCCUACACGAAGUCGGAAUCGCUAGUAAUCGCGGAUCAGCACGCCGCGGUGAAUACGUUCCCGGGCCUUGUACACACCGCCCGUCACACCAUGAGAGUUUGUAAC
rnacentral:rRNA from 2 species